rnacentral:misc_RNA from 1 species
CCAACAAAUAAUCUUUUUCCUGUAGCUUGCUCUCUCCCAGUGGAAGGUAUUAGGUAAGUUGGGGUAGGUAAAGGCAGGGUGAAGUUUAAGUCCUCUUCUAUUCUUCUCCUAUUCUUUUGAUAAUAAUUAGUUGGUGUGGUCGUUAGACGCAAAAAUGAGAAUUUACUCCACACUGAUGGAUACCAUCGAGACGUACGCGGGGCUGUCACCGGCGGCGUUCUUUACAAUAGCCGCUCUCAUGGUGGUGGUUUACAAGAUCGUAUGCAGCAUGUUCGUGGACCCAGAAGAGUUCAAUAAGCCCACCAACAAUUCCUCCAUCAAUCUUCAUCAUUCAACGCCAAAAAUCUCAGAACCUUUUCAAUUAGGAGAUGUUACAGAGCAAGAAUUGAGAGCUUAUGAUGGCUCUGAUCCUAAUAAGCCACUGUUGAUGGCCAUCAAAGGUCAGAUCUAUGACGUCUCUUCCUCUAGGUAUUCUCUCAAAUUUUCUUUCUUUUUUUCUUCCUAUUUAAUUUUUGAAGAAAGAAAUUGGGUUGUAGUUUAUGUUAUUGGCCUGCAUACUGUGAAGGGAGAAAGAAAGUACAUUUGUAUGUGAAUCAAAUAAACAUAUUGCAACUUGAAGGUGAUACCUAAUAAAAUGUGAUUCUUUUGGGUAACUUUCUUUUUCUCUUUUCUCUAAUUUGGAAGCCAAAACUAAUAAUGAUUGACAAUAAAAAUAACAUUUAGGAAGUAAAAGAACAAAAAUUGCAGUUGGUUCAUUCCUUUUUUUAUUUUUUAUAAUAUUUCUCGGUUUGAGAUAAUUUUUGAAUAUUCUUGCAAUUAUGUAGACUUAUUUUUAUCAGUUUGGGUAGGGAUAAGUUACCUGUUUGAUUUGUGGGAGAAAAAAAAAGAAAAAUAUUAAUGCCUCUGUUGCUUUCAGUAAUUGAAAAGCUAAAAUUAUUUGGCAUCAUAAGCUGUCAAUCUUGUCAUAUCUUUCUGUAUGCUGUUUGUUGAAUUCAACAAUCUGAGAAGAUUUUCUGAAGCUGAACAUGACAUUUUGUGUGUGAUUGUGUUUAUGUACAGGAUGUUUUAUGGUCCUGGUGGUCCAUAUUCUAAGUUUGCUGGAAGGGAUGCCAGCAGAGCCUUAGCUCUCCUCUCAUUUGAUCCUAAAGACCUUACAGGGAAUCUUGAGGGUCUUAGUGAUUCUGAGCUUGAAGUUUUACAGGACUGGGCGUAUAAAUUCAUGGAAAAAUAUGUGAAAGUUGGGCAGCUUGUUGCAGAGCAAACUAGGACUGAGCAAACGGAUGGAGAAGAAGUUGAAGAAAGCCACAAACAUGAAACAAAUGGAGAUAGGCAGACAUUUUAAGCAUGGCCAAGGCAGAACGGAGGUAGUAUGUAUAUGAUCAUAUUUAGUAGGUUUUUUUUCAACACGUUCUUGCAGAGAUGAUUCUUAGCUUGAGAAAAAUCUGCUAAUAACAAUCUUUGGUAUGAGACUGUGAAGUAAGUCUUCUUCAUUAGCUGAGGGAUGGUUCUUGGCAUGCCUAUGUGAAUGUAUUUUUGCUCUUCUCCAUUGCCAAAUGGAGCAAAGCAAAAUCCUAGUGCUAUAUAUAUAUAUAUAUACUUUGACAUAAAGCAAUAAUGGGUUUGUCUAUUCUGGUGACUGCCAACUCAACGGAUAAUAAAAAGACAUGGGGGGAUGAUCAUUAUUUAAAAGUUCUAGAGCUUUUGAAUCCUCAUUUUCUAGGGAACUAGCCCCGGAAAUUGAGCUUAAUUUUACCAUUGCAGCCUUACUGUCUAGGCUAUUUUUAAUUCUAUGAUAGUAAAUUUUUGCUUCAUCACUUUGUCAAAAUCAAGCUGAAAAUUCUAUUAAAAUCUUGCAAUAAAGAAAUCAUAGAAAUAAAAGUAAAGCUUAAUGAUUCGUCUAGUAUGAGGUUUAGUAGUUGUUGUACAGCAAUUUUUAAGUUGUUAGGUGAAAUUGAU